GGGUAAUCGCCUCAAUGCACGUUAAUCUUGACAUUGGGGAGGAAAGUCCGAACACCUUCAGGCGGCGUGCUUCCUAACGGGAAGGCAUCGAAAGAUGAUAGAAAGUGCCACAGAAAAUAGACGUCCGAGCAUGGUUCGCCGUGCACGGUCAUGGUGAAAAGGUGGGGUAAGAGCCCACCGCUCAACUGGUGACAGUUGGGGCAUGGUAAACCUCACGCGGUGCAAGCUCAAGCAGAUCCUGUGUUGCCUGACACAACGGGAUCGGGUAGAGUGCUCGAGCCAUGUGGCGACGCAUGGCCUAGAUCAAUGAUUACCCCCUGUAAAGGGACAGAAUUCGGCUUAUAGA
rnacentral:RNase_P_RNA from 1 species